UACGGAGGGUGCAAGCGUUAUCCGGAUUCACUGGGUUUAAAGGGUGCGUAGGUGGGCUUGUAAGUCAGUGGUGAAAUCUCCGUGCUUAACAUGGAACUGCCAUUGAUACUAUAGGUCUUGAAUUAUCUGGAGGUUAGCGGAAUAUGUCAUGUAGCGGUGAAAUGCUUAGAUAUGACAUAGAACACCCAUUGCGAAGGCAGCUCGCUACACUAUCAUUGACACUGAGGCACGAAAGCGUGGGGAUCAAACAGG
rnacentral:rRNA from 1 species